rnacentral:rRNA from 1 species
AUCUAGGGCCAUACCACCCUGAAAACACCCAAUCUCGUCUGAUCUCAGAAGCUAAGCAGGGUUGGGCCUGGUUAGUACUUGGAUGGGGGAAAUUAGCCUUCUAUUUA